AAGACGUCUUCUCGCCUCCAGGGUUGCCCUGAUUCGCAGAUUGUGGCAACAAACGAAGCACGCUUCACACAUCCACGUUAUCUUACACGUCUGUUACAAAGUCCUGCAAGGCAGGAUGUAGAACUAUUACUCCUCCUGUGAUAUCACCUCUGCAAAGGCACGAACUUUCUCUCUUUUGUUUGGUGAGUUAUUGCUGGCACCUAGAACGCUGCCGGGCACAUAGUAGGUGCUCUAUAAACACUUGGUGAAUUGAUACAUUUAAAAAUCCAGAUUUCAGGAGUUGUGUGGGAUGCGGCUCAUUACCCAAAGAACAUGAAGUAUCACAACUACAGUCUGCUGUCUCUAUUUCUCAGCCAGAAAAGCCAAGCUUAAGACCCAAGCAGAUCCACACAGAAAGGCCAGAAAGAAAAUGCUGACCGUUGGCCUGGUCACGCGCUGGGCUGAAGACAGACGCCAGCACUGCUGUUAUGUCAAGAGGAACGCAAGCUUUAAAAACAAAACACUUUAUUUUAAUGAAUUCCAUGAUUUUUAAAUGCCUCCCUCCCCCCCCCCCCUUAUAGGGGAGAGGUAAAGCUGUCAAAAUUAUCAAAAAAUUCAAAUCUCCUUUUCUUCAGGGGGCUGUCUGUCAACGUGCUUUCGUCCAGCAUGCCUCCCAGGUCCUGGAAACCACUUCCAGGGUCAAAGGAUUCUGCAGCCUCCAGGAGCUCCCUGUCACUUCCAUCUUCCUCAAAGGACUUCUGGAAGAAGUCGUAGAUCUGCUGCUGCUUUGGGUCCUUCAUCAGAGAGAGGAAACAAGCGAUGAGCAGAAGAGUGCGGGCUCCAGCACUGCCCCCACCCCCCCGCCUCCUCCGCUGGGAGGGAGACACAGAGGUGGGGGCUGCACGUUUUACAUCGUCCAGUGCCGCACGAUGGCCGGUGCAGCCCCAGGUGGCCUUACCGCCUGACAUCUUUUCUUCUCUGCUACUCGUGGGGUAAAGGAAAAGAAAAAGAAAAAGGAAAGAAGGAAAAGGAAGAAACGGUGUGAGAGCAACUGAAGAACGCACUCUCAAACUAUAAUAUUUGUUGGAAACGUUUUCUGCCUUCUAGCUUUCCAAAUCGGUAUUGAAAUUGCUCCCAAGCUCUCACUUCCCGCAAAGCCGUUCUCCACCAAGGGCUAAUAGUUAAGUUGUAAUUCAACACCAAAGCAGUGUGCUCAGCCAUGGCUUACCCCUAAUUUUCAGAGUGAUUAAUAAAACAGACACAUACUUGA